UACGAGGGGGGCGGGCGUUGUUCGGAAUUAUUGGGCGUAAAGGGUGCGUAGGCGGCCUGACAAGUCUGAUGUGAAAUCCCUGGGCUCAACCCAGGGCCUGCAUCGGAAACUGUCGGGCUUGAGUAUGGGAGAGGUGAGCGGAAUUUCCGGUGUAGCGGUGAAAUGCGUAGAUAUCGGAAGGAACACCUGUGGCGAAAGCGGCUCACUGGACCAUUACUGACGCUGAGGCACGAAAGCUAGGGGAGCAAACAGG
rnacentral:rRNA from 1 species